GACGAACGCUGGCGGCGUGCUUAACACAUGCAAGUCGAACGGAAAGGCCCUGCUUUUGUGGGGUGCUCGAGUGGCGAACGGGUGAGUAACACGUGAGUAACCUGCCCUUGACUUUGGGAUAACUUCAGGAAACUGGGGCUAAUACCGGAUAGGAGCUCCUGCUGCAUGGUGGGGGUUGGAAAGUUUCGGCGGUUGGGGAUGGACUCGCGGCUUAUCCGCUUGUUGGUGGGGUAGUGGCUUACCAAGGCUUUGACGGGUAGCCGGCCUGAGAGGGUGACCGGCCACAUUGGGACUGAGAUACGGCCCAGACUCCUACGGGAGGCAGCAGUGGGAAAUAUUGCACAAUGGGCGGAAGCCUGAUGCAGCAACGCCGCGUGCGGGAUGACGGCCUUCGGGUUGUAAACCGCUUUCGCCUGUGACGAAGCGUGAGUGACGGUAAUGGGUAAAGAAGCACCGGCUAACUACGUG
rnacentral:rRNA from 1 species